CCAGACUCCUACGGGAGGCAGCAGUGGGGAAUAUUGCACAAUGGGGGAAACCCUGAUGCAGCGACGCCGCGUGAGUGAAGAAGUAUUUCGGUAUGUAAAGCUCUAUCAGCAGGGAAGAAAAUGACGGUACCUGACUAAGAAGCCCCGGCUAACUACGUGCCAGCAGCCGCGGUAAUACGUAGGGGGCAAGCGUUAUCCGGAUUCACUGGGUGUAAAGGGAGCGUAGACGGCGACGCAAGUCUGAAGUGAAAAUCCAGCGCUUAACGUUGGAAGUGCUUUGGAAACUGCCGGGCUAGAGUGCGGGAGGGGCAGGCGGAAUUCCUAGUGUAGCGGUGAAAUGCGUAGAUAUUAGGAGGAACACCAGUGGCGAAGGCGGCCUGCUGGACUGCAACUGACGUUGAGGCUCGAAGGCGUGGGGAGCAAACAGGAUUAGAUACCCCCGUA
rnacentral:rRNA from 1 species